GUAGACGUAAGCUUUUAGGGCUCACUGCCAUUACCGCUAGAACAAAGCACAUACACAUCCGUUGUCAUUUCUCCACCUUCCUGCAGAUAUCACAACGCCACAGACCUGUGUGCCAUGCGGGCUUUGUACAUAUCACCUGAUUCUGGUCUCCGCUAUCCCGCUGUAACACUGCAGUCAGUAAAAUUGGAGUUGGCAGACCAUGGGGACUCUCCGCAGUAAUCCAUCACCCGGACCUGUGUGCGAGGAUUACCUGAGCUACUUCUGGAUCCUCUGUGUGUAUUUUAUUGAACCACCAAGACAAUGGUCUUGUUUUUAAGUCGUUUAGGGACCUAUAUAUCAAAGCAUAUUUGUGGGAUAUCCCACAGAAAACACCCUAUCGGAGCCCUGCGUGUGCUUUUAGUUAUAUUCCAGGCAAAACUUAAUUUCUUGUUGCCGCUAUAAGCCAUUUCCCUGCCAGGCCUGGUAAUCAGAGACUCAUGGUGACAAGAUGGCGUCACACGGUUGCUGCAGAGUUGUCAGCUGCACAUUCAUGCUGUAAAUCUCCCGUCCUAUCACAUCCCAUUGGUGCAGUAUUGCACUGAGGUCAGGAGACUGUGUCGGCCUUUGGGGUAGACGGACCGCAUUGUCCUCUUCAUGGAACCAGUGUGAGAUGCGAUCUGGCGUGUUAUCCUGCUGGGGCAGCCAUUAGAGGAUGGGUAGGCUGUGGCCUAGAGGGAGGCACGUGGUCAGCAGCUGUACCCAGGUAGGCUGUGGCAUUUAUACAAUGCUCAGUUGGUGUUAUGGGGCCUAAUGUGUGCUAAAAAAACAUUCUCCUCACCAUUACACCCCCUCCGGCCUAGUACAUUGACACAAAGAUGGAUCCAGAUAAUCAUGUUGUUUAUGCCACAUUCUAACCCCACCAUCUGGAAGUCACAGCAGACAUUGAGAUUGGUCAGACCAGGCAAUGUCUACCCAUCUUCCACUGCCCAGUGUUGGUAGCCUGUGCCCAGUGUAGCCUCAGUUUCCUGCCCUUAGCUGACAGCAGCAAACUUCCCAACAUUCUCAUACCCCAUAGUGGGUGAAAGGGGUGCGCCCUCUUACCUGCAAAGCCACGCCCCCUGGUGCAUGGCUUUGUGGGGGCAUGACACCCAGCCUCUCCCAGCACUAACUGGAUGGUGUGCAGUGUGUACAUGCAUGCAGAGCAGCAACCAAGUGCCCCCCACCAACCCCCCUCACAGGGGACACUGCGGCCCGCGGGCAGAACAAUGGGACAGUACUUGAAAAGUGUGACUCUCCCGCCAAAAUCAGGACAGUUGGUGUACACGCAGGGGUGGAACACAGUGUGGUCUCUUGCUGCUGUAGCCCAUCUACUUCAAGGUUCCACAUGCUGUGGGCUCAGAGACGUUUUUCUGCCUAUCACUGGUGUAAAACAGGGUUAUUUGAGUUGCCAUCACCUCCCUCUCAACUUGGACUAAUCUGCCCAUUCUUCUGUGACCUCUCUCAUUGACAAGACUGUAGUGCAUGAAGAUAAGCGGUUUCUAAGACAGUCAUACCAGCCCAUCUGGCAUCAGCAAUCGUUCCACACCAAUCACAUCUCUUCCCCAUUUUGGUGUUUGGUCUGAACAACAACUGAACCUCUUGACCAUGUUUGCCUCCCUCAGGCUAAGACUCCAUGCGACCAUAGCCUAUACUUUAUUCGCUGUUAGGUUGAAUAUUGGUACAGCCCACAAAAUGGCUGCC